rnacentral:rRNA from 1 species
UACGUAGGGUGCAAGCGUUGUCCGGAAUUAUUGGGCGUAAAGAGCUCGUAGGCGGUUUGUCGCGUCUGCUGUGAAAACUCAGGGCUUAACCCUGAGCCUGCAGUGGGUACGGGCAAACUAGAGUACUGCAGGGGAGACUGGAAUUCCUGGUGUAGCGGUGAAAUGCGCAGAUAUCAGGAGGAACACCGGUGGCGAAGGCGGGUCUCUGGGCAGUAACUGACGCUGAGGAGCGAAAGCGUGGGGAGCGAACAGG